AUAUCUAGAAUCAUAAAGACAUCGCAUUCGUAAUGCGAAGGUCGUAGGUUCGACUCCUAUUACCGGCACCA
rnacentral:tRNA from 1 species